rnacentral:rRNA from 1 species
AUUGAACGCUGGCGGCAUGCUUUACACAUGCAAGUCGAACGGUAACAGGCCGCAAGGUGCUGACGAGUGGCGAUCGGGUGAGUAAUGCAUCGGAGCGUGCCCAGUCGUGGGGGAUAACGCAGCGAAAGCUGUGCUAAUACCGCAUACGAUCUGUGGAUGAAAGCGGGGGACCGUAAGGCCUCGCGCGAUUGGAGCGGCCGAUGUCAGAUUAGGUAGUUGGUGGGGUAAAGGCUCACCAAGCCGACGAUCUGUAGCUGGUCUGAGAGGACGACCAGCCACACUGGGACUGAGACACGGCCCAGACUCCUACGGGAGGCAGCAGUGGGGAAUUUUGGACAAUGGGCGCAAGCCUGAUCCAGCAAUGCCGCGUGCAGGAAGAAGGCCUUCGGGUUGUAAACUGCUUUUGUACGGAGCGAAAGGGCUCUCUCUAAUACAGGGGGCUCAUGACGGUACCGUAAGAAUAAGCACCGGCUAACUACGUGCCAGCAGCCGCGGUAAAAC